AUGGGCGGCCUCGUGCGAGCUUGGAGUGAGAGCGGGAGCGAGCGGCUGGCGUGGGGCGAGGCGCCUGCGCGGUGUCGGGCCCCUGAGCCCGAGGCGCUGAGACAGCCGGGGACGGACAUGCGCGGGAGGGCGCCGUGGGGCAGCCGCGGCUCUGCCGGGGGAAUGAAAGCCACUGGAGUGGCUGCUCAGAUCAGAGUCCCGUUAAAAACUGGAUUUCUGCACGAUGGCCAAGCCUUGGGGAGCCUGAAGGCCUGCUGGGGUGGCCGCAGCGAGUUUGAGAACAGCUUUUUAAACAUCGACCCGAUAACCGUGGCCUACAGUCUGAACUCGCGGGCGCAGGAGCAGCUAACCUCCAUCGGGCGCACCUCCAGAUCCACCCCGAUGAGCAGAAGCCACUGUGCAGAGCAUGGCCCCCCUCCGGAGUCCCGCCUGCCUCCCCUCAUCAUCCCCCCAAGUGAAGGCUGGGGCAGCAGGAGGAGGACCGGGUGGCGUGUGGACUGAAGAAGCGGGCGGUGAACGGGGUCUGUGCUGCCACACCCCCGUUGACCCCCGUCAAGAGUCCCCUGUCCCUCUUCUCCGGCCCAGUGCCCUGCGAGCGGGGCUCCCGGCCCCUGCCGCCACUGCCCAUCUCCGAGGACCUCGCCCUGGACGAGACGGACUGCGAGGUCGAGUUUCUCACCAGCUCGGACACGGACUUCCUUCUGGAAGACUGCGGGCUUUCUGACUUCAGAGCCGAUGGCCCCGGCAGACGCAGCUUCCAAGGAUGCGGACAGAUCAACUGUGCAUAUUUUGACACCCCAACUGUCUCCGCUGUGGAUCUCAGCCAGGAACCCGACCAGGUGGCUGGGGUGCCAAGCGCCAACCCCCCUCUGCCUCAGGCCCACCGGAGACUGAGGAGGUCUCACUCAGGCCCCGCGGGGUCCUUCAACAAGCCCGCCAUCAGGACCUCCAGCUCCAUGCACAGGGCUUCUCCCAAUUCCGACGACGACAAGCCAGAAGUUCCCCCUCGGGUCCCCAUCCCUCCCCGGCCGGCCAAGCCAGACUACAGAAGGUGGUCGGCCGAGGUCACCUCCAGCACCUACAGCGAUGAGGACAGGCCCCCCAAAGGCCCACCGAGAGAGCCCUUGUCCCGGAGCAACUCCCGCACCCCAAGCCCCAAAAGCCUCCCAUCUUACCUCAACGGGGUCAUGCCCCCCACGCAGAGCUUUGCCCCCGACCCCAAGUAGGUGAGCAGCAAAGCCCUGCAGAGACAGCACAGUGAGGGGGCUGCCGGCAAGGCGCCCUGCAUCCUGCCCAUCAUUGAAAGUGGGAAGAAGGUGAGCUCCACGCACUACUGCCUGCUCCCUGAGAGGCCGCCCUACCUGGACAGAUUCGAAAAAUUCUUUAGGGAAGCAGAAGAAACACACGGGAACACCCCCGUCCACCCCAUCCUGGUCCAUGGCAGCAUCUCUUCAGCCCCAGAAAAGCUGGACCUAAAGCCAUGAGUGGACCUGGGAGGCCAUGUGAAGCGCAAACAUUUCUCCUAUGUGGUUUCUCCUUAGACCCUGGAGUCCCAGCUCAGCAGAGGUGCCAUGGGAGCGAGUGGUUCUCUCACAGUUCCCCAGACCCGUCAAGGUUCCCCAGGAAAAUAGUCCAGAUCACAGGCUCAGAGAGUCGAACUCUCCGUCUGAACAGGAAGGGCUUAGAGAGUCAGGAGGUGCUGAGGUGCUGAGCAUCCCUGACCGUGUGAGCGUCAGAGAAAAGUCUGCUCAAGCCUGUCAUUUAAAGAUGCGAUGCAGGGAGGAAGGACAAGGGACACGCAUAUGUGUGCACGUUAGACGCCUGCAUCUACACUUGUGAUAAAAUCAUAGAUUCUAGUUGCAAGUUAACCCAGUAGUUCCUGUCUUAGAGUAAUAUAUAUUUAGAACAAUAAGACUCAAGCUGGAGGAUGGCUCCUGAGAGACUGAAAAUUGAGCAAAUGGGAGAGAAUACAGUAUUGUUUAGCUCAGAAUCAUAAAAUAUUAUAUAUAUAUAUAUUAUUAUUUUUUUUGCAUAAUAAGGUUGAAGAUUGCCAGCUCUGAGGCCUGUUCUGUUUUGUUUCAUUUAUUUUUACAAGCAGUUUUUCCAUGGAAGGCAGGCCAUACUUUCUUUCCGUGACUUCACGUGCCUGGUUUAAGUCGUCCUGAGACCUAAAUCCUGUAGGUCUUGCUGAAGGGAUGGCAGCACCUUUGGUACCGUAUUCUCACCUGUCCGGGUCUCAUGAAAAAUGGGAAGGUAACAGAAUAAGUCAUUUUUCCUUACCAUUCCUUCUCUGUUCCACCCACCCCCAGGAAACGCAGGACACAUGGGGAAAAACAGACUCUUGGCCAGUGUUGAGGAUGUCAGUUGAAGCAAUAAUGAAGCAGUCAGCUGUUGGGUUGAGAGUAUCUGUGUGGAGAUGUGUGUUGUAGGUUUCUUUUCUUUUUUUUCCCUCCCCUAUUUUAGUCGCAUAUGAAUAAACAAAUACAACACAAGGUGGCCUUGUGUUGCUGGUUCCUCGUCAGUAUUUCCUGGGGAUUAUUUGCUUUCUAAGUAAAACCCUUCUGACCAACAGCCCAGUAUGUCUUAAGACCGGAGGUCACAUCAUCUACUUUGGAAAUUCUCACGGCAGGCUGCUCUGCUCAGAUCUGGUGAGACAUAAAGCUCGUGUCCCACUUUCACAUGCUUCGCUGUGUUUAUCUUGUGU